rnacentral:ncRNA from 1 species
GCAAAACCGAUGAUAGAACAAAGAUUCUGAAGGUCUUCAGAGAGCCGGUGGUUGGUGUAAACCGGUGGCGGACAGAUAUCUUUAGCACUCUUGAGAUAUUGUAUCGAACUUAAAGUAGGUACAAUCGGAUCAUCUCCGUUACCAGUGUGGCCUUUACAGGCCAAUGAGGCUGUGAUUUAAUCUCACAGUGAAUUAGGGUGGUACCACGACGACUCUCGUCCCUUAC